rnacentral:rRNA from 1 species
AUUGAACGCUGGCGGCAUGCCUUACACAUGCAAGUCGAACGGCAGCACGGGAGCAAUCCUGGUGGCGAGUGGCGAACGGGGUGAGUAAUAUAUCGGAACGUGCCCAGUCGUGGGGGAUAACGUAGCGAAAGCUACGCUAAUACCGCAUACGAUCUAUGGAUGAAAGCGGGGGAUCGCAAGACCUCGCGCGAUUGGAGCGGCCGAUAUCAGAUUAGGUAGUUGGUGAGGUAAAGGCUCACCAAGCCGACGAUCUGUAGCUGGUCUGAGAGGACGACCAGCCACACUGGGACUGAGACACGGCCCAGACUCCUACGGGAGGCAGCAGUGGGGAAUUUUGGACAAUGGGCGCAAGCCUGAUCCAGCAAUGCCGCGUGCAGGAUGAAGGCCUU